UACGUAGGUGGCAAGCGUUGUCCGGAUUUAUUGGGUUUAAAGGGUGCGUAGGCGGCCCUGUAAGUCAGUGCUGAAAUAUCCCGGCUUAACCGGGAGGGUGGCAUUGAUACUGCGGGGCUAGAGUACAGAUGAGGUAGGCGGAAUUGACGGUGUAGCGGUGAAAUGCUUGGAUAUCGUCAAGAACACCUAUAGCGAAGGCAGCUUACUAGGCUGUAACUGACGCUGAGGCACGAAAGUGUGGGGAUCAAACAGG
rnacentral:rRNA from 1 species